GUUAUUUCCUUCUGGCAAGCAACAAGCGAACUGCAGAAAAGGAAUAAGACAGCAAGCAAAAAAAGUUAAAGGCAGGGCUUCAGAGAAAGGAAAGGGAACUAUAACUAAGGGUAGUUUCCACCACCACCACCAUUCACUACUAUACCUUCUCUCUAUAGCUUUCUGUCUUGACAAGCAGUCUUUGCUUUCACCACGUUCACACACUGACUUUUGUUAUAUAAAUUUCUCACCUUUCUCUUUUUGAGGGCAGUAUAGAGUUGGAAGAAUUAUAUUGUAUUUUCAUCCAGAUUUUUCUUGGAGUAAAAUACAUACUAUGAAUUCAGGUGGGGUUCAAUCCAUAAUAUGGGAAAGUUGCUCUGGAAAAGUCUGGAUAAUUGCUGCCCCUCAUUGUAGAAUUCUUAUCUAGGGAGUCCAGGGCUAUAGAAAGCUAUUUUAAUGUAAACUGUUGCUUAUUCAUUCCAUACUGACUGUGCCAGCCUUGAAAAUUCUGCAUGUUUGUUAUGGAAAUUGCAACUCUAGCGUGUAAAAUACAGGACGGUCCAAUUUGGCAUAUAUUCUUGCAUUUAUAUUUCCCAUAUGAUUGUUAACCAUCUCUGGUGAGAUGGGCGGCUAUAUAAGUCAGUAUAGUAAAAUCAUGCCAUGAUGUAUGGAAUGAAACAUGCAAGUGACAUUCUAUGUGCAAUCAUACGUAGCAUUCUACAUAUGCAAAGUGUCAUACAUAGCACUUCGUAUGCACCACAAUGUCCAAUAUAUGGUUUUUAAAUUGUGUUCCUUUACUAGCUGAGGUGGCAAUAUAGACCAAUAUCAUUGGUUAAUCUGAAAUAUUUUUUUAUUCUGGUUUAUGCAGGUACACUGCUGAUUGCCUAUCCCUGAAUUAUUUAGUCAAAGUUUUAUUACUAAAACUGGAGGAAAGAGUGCUUAGUUUAUUACCUUCAGUCCCUGGCAGAAAGGGACAGGGGCAAGAAACCUUCCAUUUCUGUGAAAGUGGGGCUGUUUGUAUCUGUUCCUUGUUUUGGUGACUGCUACUCAACUUACCAAGCCUCAACCAAAAUGGCCAUAGUGGACAGUGCCCAACAAUCAGUCAAGGAAGGAACGUGCCCACAGCGGACGCAAGCAGCCAAGAGGAGCUGGGCAGAUCCUUGCUCCUGACCAGGUCAUCACCAACGUUGUCACUAAAACAUUGUAAACUGGAUGCCAAAACUUGUGUCAGAAGAAAAGGAGAAACAUUUUAACAAUGGAGCAACUAAGGACAAGCUUAAGGUGCCUCUGAAGUUGUUUGGGAAUGAAACAGAAGCCACAUUGUGAGGAUAUGACCCUUAAAAACGUUUAGCAAGUGUCUCUGUGCCACGGAUAGAGGGAUGUGAGGAUGAAUCCAUAGAUCUUGUUUCCAGAUCUCUUAGGAUAAUUCUUGAUUCUCUUGGUUUUUCUCUUUUUCAUCUAAUUUUCUCUCCAGUUUCUCAGCUUGUGGCCAUCCAA